AAGAGACGUUGCCCUUCGGGGUAUACCUCCCACCCUUUGUUUAGUUAUACCUUUGUUGCUUUGGCGGGCCCGUCCUCGGACCACCGGCUUCUGCUGGUCAGUGCCCGCCAGAGGACCUAAAACUCUGUUUGUUAAUAUUGUCUGAGUACUAUAUAAUAGUUA
rnacentral:misc_RNA from 1 species